AUUUAAGUAGUUUAAUAUAAAAAUUUCGAUUUGUGGUGUCGAAGAUAUAAGAUUUUAUCUUAAAUC
rnacentral:tRNA from 1 species